AUCCGGCUGACAAGACCCAAAUAGGACGAAACUCAUGUCCCGGAU
rnacentral:hammerhead_ribozyme from 1 species